rnacentral:rRNA from 1 species
GAUGAACGCUGGCGGCGUGCCUAAUACAUGCAAGUCGAGCGAACGGACGAGAAUCUUUCUUCUCUGAUGUUAGCGGCGGACGGGUGAGUAACACGUGGAUAACCUACCUAUAAUACUUGUAUAACUUCGGGAAACCGUAUCUAAUACCGGAUAAUAUUUUGAACCUCAUGGUUCAAAAGUGAAAGACGGUCUUGCUGUCACUUAUAGAUGUAUCCGCGCUGCAUUAGCUAGUUGGUAAGGUAACGGCUUACCAAGGCAACGAUGCAUAGCCGACGUGAGAGGGGGAGCGGACACACUGGAACGGAGAAACGGACCAGACAACUACGGGAGGCAGCAGUAGGGAAGAUUCCGCAAUGGGCGAAAGCAUGACGGAGCAACGCCGCGUGAGUGAUGAAGGUCUGAGGAUCGUAAAACUCUGUUAUUAGGGAAGAAAAUAUGUGUAAGUAACUGUGCACAUAGUGACGGUAACUAAACAGAAAGCAACGGCUAACUACGUG